AGAGUUUGAUCAUGGCUCAGAUUGAACGCUGGCGGCAGGCCUAACACAUGCAAGUCGAGCGGUAGCACAGAGAGCUUGCUCUCGGGUGACGAGCGGCGGACGGGUGAGUAAUGUCUGGGAAACUGCCUGAUGGAGGGGGAUAACUACUGGAAACGGUAGCUAAUACCGCAUAAUGUCGCAAGACCAAAGUGGGGGACCUUCGGGCCUCAUGCCAUCAGAUGUGCCCAGAUGGGAUUAGCUAGUAGGUGGGGUAACGGCUCACCUAGGCGACGAUCCCUAGCUGGUCUGAGAGGAUGACCAGCCACACUGGAACUGAGACACGGUCCAGACUCCUACGGGAGGCAGCAGUGGGGAAUAUUGCACAAUGGGCGCAAGCCUGAUGCAGCCAUGCCGCGUGUGUGAAGAAGGCCUUCGGGUUGUAAAGCACUUUCAGCGGGGAGGAAGGCGUUAAGGUUAAUAACCUUGGCGAUUGACGUUACCCGCAGAAGAAGCACCGGCUAACUCCGUGCCAGCAGCCGCGGUAAUACGGAGGGUGCAAGCGUUAAUCGGAAUUACUGGGCGUAAAGCGCACGCAGGCGGUCUGUCAAGUCGGAUGUGAAAUCCCCGGGCUCAACCUGGGAACUGCAUUCGAAACUGGCAGGCUAGAGUCUUGUAGAGGGGGGUAGAAUUCCAGGUGUAGCGGUGAAAUGCGUAGAGAUCUGGAGGAAUACCGGUGGCGAAGGCGGCCCCCUGGACAAAGACUGACGCUCAGGUGCGAAAGCGUGGGGAGCAAACAGGAUUAGAUACCCUGGUAGUCCACGCCGUAAACGAUGUCGAUUUGGAGGUUGUGCCCUUGAGGCGUGGCUUCCGGAGCUAACGCGUUAAAUCGACCGCCUGGGGAGUACGGCCGCAAGGUUAAAACCCAAAUGAAUUGACGGGGGCCCGCACAAGCGGUGGAGCAUGUGGUUUAAUUCGAUGCAACGCGAAGAACCUUACCUGGUCUUGACAUCCACAGAACUUUCCAGAGAUGGAUUGGUGCCUUCGGGAACUGUGAGACAGGUGCUGCAUGGCUGUCGUCAGCUCGUGUUGUGAAAUGUUGGGUUAAGUCCCGCAACGAGCGCAACCCUUAUCCUUUGUUGCCAGCGGUCCGGCCGGGAACUCAAAGGAGACUGCCAGUGAUAAACUGGAGGAAGGUGGGGAUGACGUCAAGUCAUCAUGGCCCUUACGACCAGGGCUACACACGUGCUACAAUGGCAUAUACAAAGAGAAGCGACCUCGCGAGAGCAAGCGGACCUCAUAAAGUAUGUCGUAGUCCGGAUUGGAGUCUGCAACUCGACUCCAUGAAGUCGGAAUCGCUAGUAAUCGUAGAUCAGAAUGCUACGGUGAAUACGUUCCCGGGCCUUGUACACACCGCCCGUCACACCAUGGGAGUGGGUUGCAAAAGAAGUAGGUAGCUUAACCUUCGGGAGGGCGCUUACCACUUUGUGAUUCAUGACUGGGGUGAAGUCGUAACAAGGUAGCCGUA
rnacentral:rRNA from 2 species